AGUAUUUCUCUUGCUUUUAUCUGAGACUUCAGCUUUCUGCCUCUGAGCGAGUGUGCAUGAGUGUGUGUGCUGGAGGGAGAAACGAGUUAAAGAGAGGAAGGGAGGGAGGGAGAGCCAAGCGGCAUUUAUUUUCUUCCCCCUGCUCCCUGUCACUCCAUCCUUCCUCCCCUAACCUGGACCACCCUCCAGCCCUGCUUCCAGCCCAAACCAGGACCCCUGACCACCCCGGGACCCUUUGACUCUCCUCACUUCUCCACCCCACUAACCACCACCCCAGGUUUUCCUUUGUGGUUCUCGUUUGGAGUGUCGACUGCUAGGAUUUCAGCUUCACACAAUCCUCAGAGCCUAGCUGCCAGGAGUAAUUUGGUCUAAAGACACCUCGGCUGAACGUGUGCAGCGAAGUAAAUUGUGCAUAGAAAAAGUACGUUUUGCCAAGUUUCUCAAACUCCCUGUCCUCCGUUCAGCCUCGGUCACAGUUUAGUUUAGAGGUUAAGUUUUAAUCUCAUCAAAUAGACGACAAAAAAUGCUGUUUUCAUGAUCUGGGGAAAAGAUCUGUGAAAAAUAAAAGGUUUGUAAUGAAUGCAUUCAGUGUAGAAAUCUUGAUUAAGAUCUUAACAGAACGCUUUACAUGGUGGGACACAGAAUGCAGCGAUGGCACAACCACCAAAAAACGGCAGAUACGAGCUUUGGGAGAUGAGCGGAUGGUGGUUUACCUGUUAUGAGUCAUGUGCUGCAGAUCAGACGCUCUGAUCAUCGUUAGUGUGAGCAACUUUAGCAGGACUUCUGUCAGUUUAUAGGCUCGUGUUGACGCAACGCCAAGGUGGAAGGAGAUCAGCAAUGACCUUAGAGAAGAAACAUUUGCUGCUCAUCAAUGUGGGAAUUUAGGAUUGUGCAGAGAGGAAGAUUAUUCCCAAGAGGACAAACAUCUCCAGGUGUGGACGUCUCAACGGA